rnacentral:lncRNA from 1 species
GGGACCCAUCGGGCCUACUGUAAGUUGGACCUGAGCUAAAACCCCAUUAAUUCUCUGACCUCCAUAAGCCCCUACUUUAACUGGAGGACCACAGUGACAUUUUGGAGUCCCUGGAAUCAACGUCAUGGCCAGCAUUCAGUAGUUCCCCAAAAGUCUGAUCAUUCUCCUUUACCCAAUGUAAAGUUACUGCAGCAAAAGGCCAGAGGUCUCCCUGGGGAAAGAUGGGAGAAAAAAACACUGCAUGAAUUGUUGGUAGUGCAGUGGGCUUCUUCCUCAAAGAGACAUGACCUCCCCUUUAUUCAAGGCAUUCUGUGUCCGUAAACUGGCUCAAGUCUGGAAAGUGAUUGAGGGGCUUAUGAUUCCCUGUUUUUGUAAUUCAAAUUAGUAUUUUGUCCACUCAACCUGGAAGUUUUCUGCUUAUAUAAUUUAAGUAAGAAUGCAAUAAGCUUCCUAUCAAUUUCACUUCUAGAAACAACAUUAUUAAUUAACCAAAGACAGAGCUGUACCUGAGUCAGACUAUUCUGAUUACUGCUUUGCCUCUGUUGUCCAUUAUGGUAGCUAUGUCCACUUUGCCUUUGAGGGUUGAAUGCCACCACUUGGCCCCUGACACUUUGGGAUCCAAUUAUUCCCCUUACAUUUAAAUUUUGUAGUUGAGUGACUGCAGUUCCCACUGUAAGAACUGACAUACAGAAAAGAGUCAUCACACAGCUCUUCAAGGAUACAGAUGCUGCCCUCUCAAAUCUAUUUCAUAAGAUAUUGGUGAAGGGUAUGUCUUCUGAACCCUCCCAGCUGGGAUGAGUAGGUCUAAAUUAAAUAAUCCACUCCAGCAUCCAAAUCUCUGUAAGCCUUUGGAUGCCUUCCUCUGCUUUAAAUCAAUAGAGGUCAGGCAUUUCCAGCUCACUCACAGUGAAGUAAGCUUUUAAUCCAUAUUCGAGCUAACCAAGCAAAUAAACUAUUAUAACCUUUUCUAACUCCCCAAACCGCAACAUUAAAUGCAGAGUCCUUACUUAGUGGGGUUGUAUCAAUAAAUUCAGCCUGAUCCAACUUUAUGUUCCUUCCGCCAUUAUCCCAUACCCUAAAUAUCCAUUCCAGUGCCUUCCCUCCAGAUUUCUGCUUAUAUAAGUUAGUAAACUCAAGCAGUUCUUUAGGAGUAUAGUACAUCUCCUUGUGGGACACACUCUGAGCCUCACCUCUAGGAGCCUGCUGGGACUUGAGUCUAGUUGUAGGUCUAGAAGCAGACAGAGGUGUUGGGGGUGGUUCCUGAGGAGAAUUAGCGUUGUCUUGCCUGUCAAGUGCCUCAGAGGAGGCCAUCAUUGUUGCCCUAGGCAGUGCAUGGUUAAUCUCCUCAGACAAAUGUGGGAAAGCUGAUGGCAGCAUGGGUGAUGAAGGGGAUGUUCUACCACUUGCGGUGGGGAGGCUGUUUCCUCCGGCAAAAAAAAAAAAAAAAAAAAAAAAA